AGUGAACGCUGGCGGUAGGCCUAACACAUGCAAGUCGAACGGCAGCACAGUAAGAGCUUGCUCUUACGGGUGGCGAGUGGCGGACGGGUGAGGAAUACAUCGGAAUCUACUUUUUCGUGGGGGAUAACGUAGGGAAACUUACGCUAAUACCGCAUACGACCUACGGGUGAAAGCAGGGGAUCUUCGGACCUUGCGCGAUUGAAUGAGCCGAUGGCGGAUUAGCUAGUUGGCGGGGUAAAGGCCCACCAAGGCGACGAUCCGUAGCUGGUCUGAGAGGAUGAGCAGCCACACUGGAACUGAAACACGGUCCAGGCUCCUACGGGAGGCAGCAGUGGGGAAUAUUGGACAAUGGGCGCAAGCCUGAUCCAGCCAUACCGCGUGGGUGAAGAAGGCCUUCGGGUUGUAAAGCCCUUUUGUUGGGAAAGAAAAGCAGCAGGUUAAUACCCCGCUGUUCUGACGGUACCCAAAGAAUAAGCACCGGCUAACUUCG
rnacentral:rRNA from 1 species